CCUACGGGAGGCAGCAGUGAGGAAUAUUGGUCAAUGGGCGCGAGCCUGAACCAGCCAAGUAGCGUGAAGGAUGAAUGACCUACGGAUUGUAAACUUCUUUUGUAAAGGAAUAAAGAAAGGCACGUGUGCCUUUUUGUCUGGACUUGAUGAAGAAGGAUCGGCUAACUCCGUGCCAGCAGCCGCGGUAAUACGGAGGAUCCGAGCGUUAUCCGGAUUUAUUGGGUUUAAAGGGAGCGUAGAUGGUUUGUUAAGUCAGUUGUGAAAGUUGGCGGCUCAACCGUAAAAUUGCAAUUGAUACUGGCAGCCUUGAGUACAGUUGAGGUAGGCGGAAUUCGUGGUGUAGCGGUGAAAUGCUUAG
rnacentral:rRNA from 1 species